rnacentral:rRNA from 1 species
AUGAACGCUGGCGGCGUGCCUAAUACAUGCAAGUCGAGCGAACAGAUGAGGAGCUUGCUCCUCUGACGUUAGCGGCGGACGGGUGAGUAACACUUGGAUAACCUACCUAUAAGACUGGGAUAACUUCGGGAAACCGGAGCUAAUACCGGAUAAUAUAUUGCACCGCAUGGUUCAAUAGUGAAAGACGGUUUUGCUGUCACUUAUAGAUGGAUCCGCGCCGCAUUAGCUAGUUGGUAAGGUAACGGCUUACCAAGGCAACGAUGCGUAGCCGACCUGUGCGGGUGAUCGGCCACACUGGAACUGAGACACGGUCCAGACUCCUACGGGAGGCAGCAGUAGGGAAUCUUCGGCGAUGGGCGAAAGCCUGACGGAGCAACGCAGGGUGAGUGAUGAAGGUCUUCGGAUCGUAAAACUCUGUUAUGAGGGAAGAACAAAUGUGGAAGUAACUAUGCACGUCUUGACGGUACCUGAUCAGAAAGCCACGGCUAACUACGUG